CCAGCUAACCCAGAGCCGGCAGUCAGGAAAGGCUUCCUGGAGGAGGCCGCCUCUCAACAUGGAAGUCUACCAUCAGGCAGGAAACGGUGUGCCUGACCCAGGAACCAGCCUGGUCAAAGGCACUGCCCUUCUAGAGAGGUGCUAGCGACAUGAUGGGGCUGGAGAAAGGAGCAGGGCAGCGGGGAGCUAUGGAAGGCUUUUGAGCAGCGGAGUGACAAGAUAGAUCGAAGCACCAAGAGCGUUGAUAGACUGGAGGACCCGCUUGGGGCAGGAAGACCAGCGAGGAGGUGGCACAAGGGUCUGUUUUGGCAAUGGUGAAUGGAGCUGCGCAGACGUCCAUGCUCAGGUUUUCGUGUGGACUCACAUUUUCAACUCCUCUUGGAACUGGCUCGUGGUGAGACUUCACUCGAAAAAGUGGUUUCCACUUCACCUCCAGGGGCUUGGCUAGAAUUAAACUUACUGCCGCCUGUGUUGGUGGGGAUGUGGAACUCACUCGUGUGGCAAGACUGCCUGGCGGGUGGCUGGGGACCGAACAGAGGCCCCUCCCUGUGACCGAGCAAGCCCACCCUGGAGUAGGAAUCCGGCAGAAGUGCCUGGAUGCGUGUAGCGCGAGAAGUGGCCCCGAAUGCCCACAGCAGCGGCCGUCGGACAGCGCCCCCAACGGGAUCUACCGCGAUGCGCGCCCGACGGUAUAGUCCCACGAGGCAAUUCUCUUCCGGAGCAAAGACAAUCUAUAGGCGCAUGUGCCUGCAUGGAAGGUUCUCUCUGACACGCGGUGACCGAAAGACUCCAGGGACUAAAGAGCAGACGACACCGGGUGCUUCCAUUCGCGUGAAGGACAAAAAUCGUUGGAACGAAUCCCUGGUGAUGGACGACGGAAGAGUUGUUGCCUCUGGAGGUGGUCUUGACCGGGCCAUUGGAAACGCUCCGUCUCUUGGUUUGGGUCGUGGUCACCUGGGUGAACACCUAAGGGAAAAAUCGACUGAGUGUUUGCUCAGGAUCUGUGCCCCUUAGUGUGUUUUAUACCUCAACCUGUGUCUUUGCAACCACCAUGUAGGAAGCUGGCUGUCCUGAAGCCACCGUGCUGUGGAGACAGACUGUGCAGGGAGACCGCAGGUGGAGACGCCCGAGGGGCCCCAGCUGUCCAGCCUCUUCCAGUCUGUCCCAGCUGAUGCCACGUGAGCAGAGACCAGCUAUAGGUUCGCAAACUAAACAAGCUGGCUGCUGUUUAUGUGGGGGUGGGUUGAUAUGCGCCAAUAGGCAACUGGAACACCUAGUGACUUCAUUCCCCAGGGCUCCCUCCAGGCCACUCAUGCCAGCUGCACCCGGGCACACUCAGUUCCUUGCUGCGGGAGCCAGCUCCCCAGUCUGUGCGCACAAAUCUGCUCCACUCUCCCAGGCUCAGCCUCUGCCCUGCCUCCUCCGGGAAGCCUUCCUCUCUGCAGCGUUGGACAGUGUUGAAAAGCAAGCUGAUGAUAAUGGGGGGAGGUGGGGGGGUAUAUGGGAAA